rnacentral:rRNA from 1 species
UUUUGUUUUUUUUUUUUAUCUUAUAUUUGUAAAAUGUCUUAGGUUUUGAUGUAUUUAGAGGAUAUAUAAAAUUUGGUUUUUGAACUGGAUUAGUACCCAGGUAAUCAAAGUUUAUUAAUUCGGGAGUAAAGUUUAGUUUAAACCGAAAAAAUAUUGACUGACUUUGGAUUUUUCUUUGGAAUAUGUGAUUUUUGGAUAGUCCUCCUUGUUAGUUAAUCUUGUUGGCGCAUGUAUGAUUGUUUAGUUUUUAUUUUAUUUGUAAUGUUAUUAUGAUUUUUAUUUUAAAACAGAUAUAUACUUGGCUUAUGGAUUAAUAUUUCAUGUGUUACUAUUAUUAAUUUUUUUUUGGAUUUUUUGUUAAUGUUUUUUUGAAAUUGGAAAAGAAAGUAAUUGAAUUUUUUAUGUUUGGAUGAAUUUAA